rnacentral:pre_miRNA from 1 species
ACUACAUCGGGUCGUCGGUCUACCGCGCAUUAUCACCCGCUCGGUAGAAGAUCUUCCCUUCGUAGU